AUCCAGCUGACGAGUCUAACAAAAGGACGAAACGUGCGUCAAACUGGAC
rfam:Schistosoma margrebowiei strain Zambia genome assembly, scaffold: SMRZ_scaffold0000276